CUAAUACAUGCAAGUCGAGCGAAGUUUUCUGGUGCUUGCACUAGAAAAACUUAGCGGCGAACGGGUGAGUAACACGUAAAGAACCUGCCUCAUAGACGGGGACAACUAUUGGAAACGAUAGCUAAUACCGGAUAACAGCAUAAAUCGCAUGAUAUAUGUUUAAAAGUUGGUUUCGGCUAACACUAUGAGAUGGCUUUGCGGUGCAUUAGCUAGUUGGUGGGGUAAAGGCCUACCAAGGCGACGAUGCAUAGCCGACCUGAGAGGGUGAUCGGCCACACUGGGACUGAGACACGGCCCAGACUCCUACGGGAGGCAGCAGUAGGGAAUCUUCCGCAAUGGGCGAAAGCCUGACGGAGCAACGCCGCGUGAGUGAAGAAGGAUUUCGGUUCGUAAAGCUCUGUUGUUAGGGAAGAAUGAUUGUAUAGUAACUAUAUACAGUAGAGACGGUACCUAACCAGAAAGCCACGGCUAACUACGUGCCAGCAGCCGCGGUAAUACGUAGGUGGCAAGCGUUGUCCGGAAUUAUUGGGCGUAAAGCGCGCGCAGGUGGUUUAAUAAGUCUGAUGUGAAAGCCCACGGCUCAACCGUGGAGGGUCAUUGGAAACUGUUAAACUUGAGUGCAGGAGAGAAAAGUGGAAUUCCUAGUGUAGCGGUGAAAUGCGUAGAGAUUAGGAGGACACCAGUGGCGAAGG
rnacentral:rRNA from 1 species